rnacentral:rRNA from 1 species
CACGUAGGGCGCAAGCGUUGUCCGGAAUUAUUGGGCGUAAGGAGCUCGUAGGCGGUCUGUUGCGUCCGCUGUGAAAACCCGGGGCUUAACCCUGGGCUGGCAGUGGAUACGGACAGACUAGAGGUAGGUAGGGGAGAAUGGAAUUCCCGGUGUAGCGGUGAAAUGCGCAGAUAUCAGGAGGAACACCGGUGGCGAAGGCGGGUCUCUGGGCCGAUAUUGACGCUGAGGAGCGAAAGCGUGGGGAGCGAACAGG